rnacentral:rRNA from 1 species
GCUGGCGGCGUGCCUAAUACAUGCAAGUCGAGCGGACAGAUGGGAGCUUGCUCCCUGAUGUUAGCGGCGGACGGGUGAGUAACACGUGGGUAACCUGCCUGUAAGACUGGGAUAACUCCGGGAAACCGGGGCUAAUACCGGAUGGUUGUUUGAACCGCAUGGUUCAAACAUAAAAGGUGGCUUCGGCUACCACUUACAGAUGGACCCGCGGCGCAUUAGCUAGUUGGUGAGGUAACGGCUCACCAAGGCAACGAUGCGUAGCCGACCUGAGAGGGUGAUCGGCCACACUGGGACUGAGACACGGCCCAGACUCCUACGGGAGGCAGCAGUAGGGAAUCUUCCGCAAUGGACGAAAGUCUGACGGAGCAACGCCGCGUGAGUGAUGAAGGUUUUCGGAUCGUAAAGCUCUGUUGUUAGGGAAGAACAAGUACCGUUCGAAUAGGGCGGUACCUGACGGUACCUAACCA